AAAGAAACUAACAGGGAUUGCCCUAGUAACGGCGAGUGAAGCGGCAACAGCUCAAAUUUGAAAUCUGGCCCUCGGGUCCGAGUUGUAAUUUGUAGAGGAUGCUUUUGGUGAGGUACCUUCCGAGUUCCCUGGAACGGGACGCCAUAGAGGGUGAGAGCCCCGUCUGGUUGGAUACCGAGCCUCUGUAAAGCUCCUUCGACGAGUCGAGUAGUUUGGGAAUGCUGCUCUAAAUGGGAGGUAUAUGUCUUCUAAAGCUAAAUACCGGCCAGAGACCGAUAGCGCACAAGUAGAGUGAUCGAAAGAUGAAAAGCACUUUGAAAAGAGAGUUAAAAAGUACGUGAAAUUGUUGAAAGGGAAGCGCUUAUGACCAGACUUGGGCUUGGUUGAUCAUCCUGGGUUCUCCCUGGUGCACUCUUCCAGUUCAGGCCAGCAUCAGUUCGCUGCGGGGGAUAAAAGUUUUGGGAAUGUGGCUCCCUCGGGAGUGUUAUAGCCCAUUGCAUAAUACCCUGCUCCGGACUGAGGUUCGCGCAUCUGCAAGGAUGCUGGCGUAAUGGUCAUCAGCGACCCGUCUUGAAACACGGACCAAGGAGUCGUCUUCGUAUGCGAGUGUUCGGGUGUUAAACCCCUACGCGUAAUGAAAGUGAACGCAGGUGAGAGCUUCGGCGCAUCAUCGACCGAUCCUGAUGUUCUCGGAUGGAUUUGAGUAAGAGCAUACGGGGCCGGACCCGAAAGAAGGUGAACUAUGCCUGUAUAGGGUGAAGCCAGAGGAAACUCUGGUGGAGGCUCGCAGCGGUUCUGACGUGCAAAUCGAUCGUCAAAUAUGGGCAUGGGGCGAAAGACUAAUCGAACUUUCUAGUAGCUGGUUUCCGCCGAAGUUUCCCUCAGGA
rnacentral:rRNA from 1 species